rnacentral:rRNA from 1 species
AUGAAGCAGACGCAGCUUCGUGGCGCCUCUCGUCUCCCCGGCCGACAUGCCACCGCCCGGCCUAUAAAACCCACACCCUCCCUUAUCCACCUCAACAUCAAAAUCAAUCGUCUCGCACUUUCGGUACCAAACCCAACCACCUCCAUCAUCUCCCUGCACCCCCGAGCCCACGCUUCCCCUGUCCCGCAGCACCAGUACCAGCACCACCGGCUAGCCAUGGACGACAAGGACUACGCCACACCGCCCACCGCUCCCGCGCCACAGGCCGAGGCCGGGGCGCCGCAGCACUCCUACCCCCCGACGCACCACGCCAUGGACGGCAAGGACGCCACCGCGCCGCAGCCGGGACCGCAGGUCUCCUAUCCCUUGAUGGAACACGCCAUCGACGGUCUGGACGCCACCGCGCCACAGCCGGGAGCGCCGCCGCAUCCGUCUUCCCCCCUGACGCAGCAGGCCAUGGAGAUGGAGGGCAAGUACGCCGCCCCGCAGCCGGGCACGGGAGCGACGCCGCCCUCGUCCUCCCCCCUCAUGCAGCAAGCCGUCGACGGCAAGGACGCCGCCCAGGCACCGCCCGGCGCGUCAGUGCCGCCCGCCGAGUCGGCGAGGUGGGGCACGCGGCAGAUGGGCCCGCCGGCGGCGCCGGGGGCGCACCCCGAGAACCAGCAGGCGGCGCAGUGGACGGCCUCGCGCGGCGAUCAGGAGCUGCCGCCGUACGUCAUCAUGGGGGGACCGGAGCCGGCGGCGGCGGCGUCGGCGCGGCGGACGGACAAGGAGACCAAGGACAGCCCCAUGGAGCACAUCCUCGACUUCUUCAACGUCUGGAGCCGCAAGGCCGAGGAGCUCUCCUCCAACAUCUGGCUCAACCUCAAGACUGCGCCGUCCAUGUCCGACGCGGCGAUGGGGAAGCUGAGCCUGGGCGCCAAGGCCAUCACGGGGGGCGGCUUCGAGAAGCUGUACAAGCAGACCUUCGCCUCCGGCCCCGACGAGCACGUAAAGAAGACGUUCGCCUGCUACCUGUCCACGGCCACGGGCCCCGUCGCCGGCACGCUCUACCUCACCAACAUGAACGUCGCCUUCUGCAGCGACCGCCCGCUCUCCUUCACCGCGCCGUCGGGCCAGACCGCCUGGAGCUACUACAAGAUCAUGAUCCCGCUGGCCAAGCUCGCCGCCGUCGAGCCCGUCACGGCCAAGGAGAGCCCGCCGGAGAAGUACAUCCACAUCGUCACCGUCGACUCGCACGACUUCUGGUUCAUGGGCUUCGUCAGCUACGACAAGGCCGUGCACCACCUGGGCGGGGCCGUCUCCUCGUCGCAGCACCACGGCGCCGCUCCCGCCGCGGCGCCGGCGCCGGCACCCACCUACGAGUGA